rnacentral:rRNA from 1 species
GAUGAACGCUGGCGGCGUGCCUAAUACAUGCAAGUCGAGCGAACAGAUGAGGAGCUUGCUCCUCUGACGUUAGCGGCGGACGGGUGAGUAACACGUGGAUAACCUACCUAUAAGACUGGGAUAACUUCGGGAAACCGGAGCUAAUACCGGAUAAUAUAUUGAACCGCAUGGUUCAAUAGUGAAAGACGGUUUUGCUGUCACUUAUAGAUGGAUCCGCGCCGCAUUAGCUAGUUGGUAAGGUAACGGCUUACCAAGGCAACGAUGCGUAGCCGACCUGAGAGGGUGAUCGGCCACACUGGAACUGAGACACGGUCCAGACUCCUACGGGAGGCAGCAGUAGGGAAUCUUCCGCAAUGGGCGAAAGCCUGACGGAGCAACGCCGCGUGAGUGAUGAAGGUCUUCGGAUCGUAAAACUCUGUUAUUAGGGAAGAACAAAUGUGUAAGUAACUAUGCACGUCUUGACGGUACCUAAUCAGAAAGCCACGGCCAACUACGUG